rnacentral:rRNA from 1 species
UGCGCAGGCGGGGAAAUAAGUCAGUGGUGAAAAGCUGCCGCUUAACGGUAGUCUUGCCAAUGAUACUGUUUUUCUUGAGUAUGGUUAAGGUAGGCGGAAUGUGCAGUGUAGCGGUGAAAUGCAUAGAGAUUGCACAGAAGGCCGAUUGCGGAGGCAGCUUACUGAGCCAUAACUGACGAUGAGGCACGAAAGCGUGGGGAUCGAACAGGAUUAGAUACCCUGGUAGUCC